AUUGAACGCCUGGCGGCAGGCCUAACACAUGCAAGUCGAGCGGAAACGAGUUAUCUGAACCUUCGGGGAACGAUAACGGCGUCGAGCGGCGGAACGGGUGAGUAAUGCCUAGGAAAUUGCCCUGAUGUGGGGGAAUAACCAUUGGAAACGAUGGCUAAUACCGCAUGAUGCCUACGGGCCAAAGAGGGGGACCUUCGGGCCUCUCGCGUCAGGAUAUGCCUAGGUGGGAUUAGCUAGUUGGUGAGGUAAGGGCUCACCAAGGCGACGAUCCCUAGCUGGUCUGAGAGGAUGAUCAGCCACACUGGAACUGAGACACGGUCCAGACUCCUACGGGAGGCAGCAGUGGGGAAUAUUGCACAAUGGGCGCAAGCCUGAUGCAGCCAUGCCGCGUGUGUGAAGAAGGCCUUCGGGUUGUAAAGCACUUUCAGUCGUGAGGAAGGUAGUGUAGUUAAUAGCUGCAUUAUUUGACGUUAGCGACAGAAGAAGCACCGGCUAACUCCGUGCCAGCAGCCGCGGUAAUACGGAGGGUGCGAGCGUUAAUCGGAAUUACUGGGCGUAAAGCGCAUGCAGGUGGUUUGUUAAGUCAGAUGUGAAAGCCCGGGGCUCAACCUCGGAAUAGCAUUUGAAACUGGCAGACUAGAGUACUGUAGAGGGGGGUAGAAUUUCAGGUGUAGCGGUGAAAUGCGUAGAGAUCUGAAGGAAUACCGGUGGCGAAGGCGGCCCCCUGGACAGAUACUGACACUCAGAUGCGAAAGCGUGGGGAGCAAACAGGAUUAGAUACCCUGGUAGUCCACGCCGUAAACGAUGUCUACUUGGAGGUUGUGGCCUUGAGCCGUGGCUUUCGGAGCUAACGCGUUAAGUAGACCGCCUGGGGAGUACGGUCGCAAGAUUAAAACUCAAAUGAAUUGACGGGGGCCCGCACAAGCGGUGGAGCAUGUGGUUUAAUUCGAUGCGACGCGAAGAACCUUACCUACUCUUGACAUCCAGAGAACUUUCCAGAGAUGGAUUGGUGCCUUCGGGAACUCUGAGACAGGUGCUGCAUGGCUGUCGUCAGCUCGUGUUGUGAAAUGUUGGGUUAAGUCCCGCAACGAGCGCAACCCUUAUCCUUGUUUGCCAGCGAGUAAUGUCGGGAACUCCAGGGAGACUGCCGGUGAUAAACCGGAGGAAGGUGGGGACGACGUCAAGUCAUCAUGGCCCUUACGAGUAGGGCUACACACGUGCUACAAUGGCGCAUACAGAGGGCGGCCAACUUGCGAAAGUGAGCGAAUCCCAAAAAGUGCGUCGUAGUCCGGAUUGGAGUCUGCAACUCGACUCCAUGAAGUCGGAAUCGCUAGUAAUCGUGGAUCAGAAUGCCACGGUGAAUACGUUCCCGGGCCU
rnacentral:rRNA from 1 species